rnacentral:lncRNA from 1 species
UUGCCGCUUAAAGGUCGAUGAGGCCGUCGCCGCGUUGCACCAAACGUUCAGCUCCCUACACUCUUUGCAAUUCUGAGCAUCACAUCCAUCGAAGGACCCAGAAAUCCACAACAUGAAUAUGUUAACUUGGAAGAGGAUCGUUUGCUGCAGGCAAACAAUUCGUGCUUUACGUGCUUUAGUGACUCCACCCCAAUUGCAAAGAGCAUCGUUGGUAUACGUUUUUAUCAAGGAUAGCCUUCCAAGUGAGGGCCAGAAACCGCCAGCUACUCAAUGUAGUGUGAUCGAUUUAGAUGAGCUUUGAGCUGAACAUAGAUUGAUCGAUCUAGCUGGCAACUGCUGCAAAUGUUGUACAAGACUCUGCCCAGCUCCUUAAUCGGAGCCUAACGUGGAUGCGGUGUGGAGACCAACGCUUGUGAUUUUUAGGCGGCCGACAACGCUCGAAGCGGCCUAUCGAAUACUAAUUUGCAUUUCGAUGCAGUUAAGCGAA